rnacentral:rRNA from 1 species
UACAGAGGGGGCAAGCGUUGUUCGGAAUUACUGGGCGUAAAGCGCACGCAGGCGGCGCAUCAAGUUCGACGUGAAAGCUCCCGGCUUAACUGGGAGAGGUCGUUGAAGACUGAUGGGCUUGAGGCAAUGAGAGGGGUGUAGAAUUCCCGGUGUAGUGGUGGAAUGCGUAGAUAUCGGGAGGAAUACCAGUGGCGAAAGCGGCACCCUAGCAUUAGCCUGACGCUCAUGUGCGAAAGCGUGGGGAGCGAACGGG